rnacentral:rRNA from 1 species
UGGCGAACGGGUGAGUAACACGUGGGUGAUCUGCCUUGCACUCUGGGAUAAGCUUGGGAAACUGGGUCUAAUACCGGAUAGGAACCGUCUUUGGUGUGGUGGUUGGAAAGUUUUUCGGUGCAAGAUGAGCUCGCGGCCUAUCAGCUUGUUGGUGGGGUAAUGGCUCACCAAGGCGAUGACGGGUAGCCGGCCUGAGAGGGCGACCGGCCACACUGGGACUGAGACACGGCCCAG